rnacentral:snoRNA from 15 species
UACCCAUGAGGAAAGCAAACAAAUGUCUUAACCCCAGUCCUGGCCCCAGAGCCAGUAAUGGUGAACCCACUGGGGCUGGCUGGGGGAAAAGAGGAAGCCCUGUUCCUGAAGGAACUGUCUGAGGUAC